rnacentral:rRNA from 1 species
AUUGAACGCUGGCGGCAUGCCUUACACAUGCAAGUCGAGCGCCCCGCAAGGGGAGCGGCAGACGGGUGAGUAACGCGUGGGAACAUACCCUUUGGUUCGGAAUAACUCAGGGAAACUUGAGCUAAUACCGGAUACGUCCGUAAGGAGAAAGAUUUAUCGCCAAAGGAUUGGCCCGCGUCCGAUUAGCUAGUUGGUGAGGUAACGGCUCACCAAGGCUACGAUCGGUAGCUGGUCUGAGAGGAUGACUCGACGCCACUAGUUGGGACUGGAG